rnacentral:lncRNA from 1 species
CGUUUUUAAAGGUCUCCAGGCAACUCCAAUGUGCGGCCAAGUUUGAGACCCAGUGCCAGCUCCAGAACCAGUUUGAGAAGCUUCACUGCCUCCUCCUCAGGAGUCCUCUCCUGCCUUCUUGGGAGGAACCAAGUCAGUGUAACUGAAUGGAGUUCUGUCAUCCUUGACCCCACAGGUGCUGCCACCAGGCAUUUCUAAAUAAAUCAUCAGUGGAACGGAGUCAAGACUCCUCACCCCUAAAGGCACCCGGCAGGCGAAUCGACUCUGAUGCCAUA